UCUGAUUUCAUUUUUGCCAGAUCCUGUUUUGUUGGCAGUUCGGAGAGUCCAGGUGGUUGAGUAUCAGAUUGUUCCAUCUCGUUUCCCUUUGGGGUUGCUGUAGGUGAUCCAGAAAUCUGUUUUUGAAACUUGUUUACAUGUCUUCUCAUUUCCAUGGGUGGGGGGGUGCUUCUGGCGCCCCCUCGGCUCACCUUCUCUGCCCUAGGAGCGUGGGAUGGCAGUGGGGGAGCUUCCUUCCAGGUGCUGAGACCAGCUCAGCUUCUCUGCCCUAGGAGCUUGGGAUGGUGGCGGGGGAGCUUCCUUCUGGGUGCUGGGACCGGCUCAGCUUCUCUGCCCUAGCAUUCCUAGAUUUUUGACCUGUCCAAGAGACAUGAGGCACACUGGAGGAAGAACACAUUUGUAGAGGUAUGGAAUUGAGUUCUAUUGUGUGAGGUGGGAUGUAUUCAAGUGGCAAUGGGAUAUCUAUGUCUGGACUUCAGGGUACAAUUUAAGACUGGACAAUUUAAUUUGGGAAUAAUGAGGGAAUAACCAUGUCAUUGGAUGAAAUCACCUAGUGCAGCUAGAGAAGAUAGUAGCAAAAGACCAAGCCCUGGGAUAUGCCAACAUAAAGAAGUAGAGGAAGGCCAGGGAUUUAGCUCAGUGGCACUGUGGCUGCCGCACAAGCACAAGGUCCUGAGUUCAAUUCCUGUUACUGAAAAAAAAAAAAGUAGAGGAAGAAAGGAAAAACCAGUAAAUGACUGUGAAGGACUUGCCAGCAAGCUAGAAGAAAAAUCAGGAGACUAGUAUGCUAGAAGCUAGGAAGUAUUUCAAAAAUAAAAGUCAUUUCCUCAUGUUCUCACCAUUUACAUGAGGAAGUUUAAAAAGUUAUCUCAUAUAAGUAGAGAGUAGAAUAGUGGUUACCAGAAGCCGGGAAGAAUAGAGAAAGGUUGGAGAGAAGAUAACAGGUAUAGAAGUCUCAUUGAAUAGGAGGAAUUAGCAUCAUGUGUUUAAAAAGAGCUACUAGAGAUGAUUUUGGAUGUUUCCCAACAAAAAGAAAUGAUAAAUGUUUGAGAUGAUGUGUAUGCCCAUUUACCCUUCUCUGAUCGUUGCACAUUACAUAUAUGUAUAGAGAUAUCAUAAUGUACCCCAUAAAUAUCUUCCACUAUGUGUCAGUUAAUUUUUGAAGUUAAAUAAUAAAAUCAGAAAUUCAGUUCCUCUAAAACAAGAGUGUUUAAUGGUGAGGAAUAUUGUCUGUUACUUGGAAAAUAGAAGCUUUGGGCCUUUUGAAAUAAAUGUGAUAGCUCCCUCAAUCAGUAACCUUUCCCAUUUGGAAACUUCUCUG
ensembl:lncRNA